rnacentral:rRNA from 1 species
GAGUUUGAUUCUGGCUCAGGAUGAACGCUGGCGGCGUGCCUAACACAUGCAAGUCGAACGGAGAACUUAAGUGGAAGUUUUCGGAUGGAAACUUUUGUUCUUAGUGGCGGACGGGUGAGUAACGCGUGGGCAACCUGCCUCAUACAGGGGGACAACAGACGGAAACGUCUGCUAAGACCGCAUACGUCUUUUUGGUCGCAUGACUGAGAAGGGAAAAGAGCAAUCUGGUAUGAGAUGGGCCCGCGUCUGAUUAGCUAGUUGGUAAGGUAACGGCUUACCAAGGCAACGAUCAGUAGCCGGACUGAGAGGUCGGACGGCCACAUUGGGACUGAGACACGGCCCAAACUCCUACGGGAGGCAGCAGUGGGGGAUAUUGCACAAUGGAGGAAACUCUGAUGCAGCGACGCCGCGUGAGUGAAGAAGUAUUUCGGUAUGUAAAGCUCUAUCAGCAGGGAAGAUGAUGACGGU